rnacentral:tRNA from 1 species
CAAAUUAUAAUCUAGGAUUAACUUUUAUUUACAUUAAAAGUUUACUUGUGCGAUUCAAGUUAAUUUGA